rnacentral:rRNA from 1 species
UACAGGGGGGGGCAAGCGUUGUUCGGAAUUACUGGGCGUAAAGCGUGCGCAGGCGGUGCGCCAAGCUCGAUGUGAAAGCCCCGGGCUUAACCUGGGAAUUGCAUUGAGGACUGGCGUGCUCGAGUGCGGCAGAGGGGGGUGGAAUUCCACGUGGUAGCAGUGAAAUGCGUAGAGAUGUGGAGGAACACCGAUGGCGAAGGCAGCCCCCUGGGCCGACACUGACGCCUCAUGCACGAAAGCGUGGGGAGCAAACAGG